GCUCAGCCCUUAACAUAGACAGUANNNACACAAUAUUGUCCGCCAGAGAACUACAAGUGAAAAACUAGAAACUCCAAGGACUUGGCGGUGCCCCACAUCAACCUAGAGGAGCCUGUCCUAUAAUCGAUAAUCCACGUUGUACCUUACCAUUUCUAGCAACCAGCCUAUAUACCGCCGUCGAAAGCCUACCUUUUGAAAGAAUCAAAGUAAGCACAAUAGUCAAUAACUACAACGUCAGGUCAAGGUGUAGCACAUGAAAUGGAAGAGAUGGGCUACAUUUUCUACCUUUAGAAAACACGAACAGCACAAUGAAACCUGUACUCAAAGGCGGAUUUAGUAGUAAGGCAAAAAAGAAACUCUGCCUUAAACUCGCU
rnacentral:rRNA from 1 species